UACGUAGGGUGCAAGCGUUGUCCGGAAUUAUUGGGCGUAAAGAGCUCGUAGGCGGUUUGUUGCGUCGGCUGUGAAAUCCCGAGGCUCAACCUCGGGUCUGCAGUCGAUACGAGCAAACUAGAGUGUUGCAGGGGAGACUGGAAUUCCUGGUGUAGCGGUGAAAUGCGCCAGAUAUCAGGAGGAACACCGGUGGCGAAGGCGGGUCUCUGGGCCGGAUGACUGACGCUGGAGGCGACGAAAGCCGUGGGGAGCAAACACGG
rnacentral:rRNA from 1 species